AUCUGGAGAUGAAAAUUGAUUCCAAAAGUGAUUCCGGAGCUGGGAACGAGAAGCAAUCACUUCCAAACUCGAAGAAAGGCACUGAUGUUCUGCCUGUUAUUGCUCUCCCUGCAGCAGGACGGGGCCGUGGUGGGAGGGAAGGAUGCGACCCGGUCCCAAGAGGUGUCCCUAAACCCAAUGUGAGGUGCUGGGAUGACGGCUGCAAGAAGCAAGGAGUGAUAGGAUGCUCCUCCACCCCGAUGCCUUUGCUCCCAAUCACACAACGGAACCCAUCACGUGGGGGUAAUGAAUGGUUUUCUGUUGCUUUGGAACGAAGAAGUGACGUGACAUCAGUGCGCCUUAAGGCAAAUGGGGCAUCCUCCAUGUGCUGAGUGACACCAGCAAUGCCAGCUGAGCCAAGCUCCACAAGGACUGGCCCUGUGUCACUGGGAGCCACUGGGAGCCACUGGGAGCCACUAAGAGCUAAAAGGGGCCACUGGGAGCUACUGGGAGCCACUGGCAUCCAUUGGGAGCCAUUGAGAACCACCAAUAGCCAUUAAGAGCUAAGAGGGGCCACUGGGAACUACUGGGAGCCACUGGGAGGCAUUGAGAGCCAUUGAGAACCACCAAUAGCCCCUAAGAGCUAAGAGGGGCCACUGCGAGCUACUGGGAGCCACUGGGAGCUAUUGAGAGCCACCAAGAGCCACUGAGAGCUAAGAGGGGCCACUGGGAGAAAUUGGAAGCCAUUGAGAGCCACUGAGAGCUAAGAGGGGCCACUAAGUGCUAAGAGAGGCCACUGGGAGCCACUGGGAGCCACUGGGAUCCAUUGGAAGCCAUUGAGAGCCACUGAGAGCCACCAAGAGCUAAGAGGGGACAAUGGGAGCUACUGGGAGUCACUGGGAUCCAUUGGGAGCCAUUGAGAGCCACCAAUAGCCAUUAAGAGUUAAGAGGGGCCACUGGGAGCCAUUUGGAGCCACCAAGAGCCCCUGAGAACUAAGAGGGGUCACUAAGAGCCAAGAGAGGCCACUGGGAGCCACUGGGAUCCACUGGGAUCCAUUGGAAGCCACUGAGAGCCACCAAUAGCCACUGAGAGCUAAGAGGGGCCACUGGGAGCUACUGGGAGCCACUGUGAUCCAUUGGGAGCCAUUGAGAUCCACCAAGAGCCACUGAGAACUAAGAGGGGCCACUGGGAACUACUGGGAGCCACUGGGAGGCAUUGAGAGCCAUUGAGAACCACCAAUAGCCCCUAAGAGCUAAGAGGGGCCACUGGGAGCUACUGGGAGCCACUGGGAGCUAUUGAGAGCCACCAAGAGCCACUGAGAGCUAAGAGGGGCCACUAAGUGCUAAGAGAGACCACUGGGAGCCACUGGGAGCCACUGGGAUCCAUUGGAAGCCAUUGAGAGCCACUGAGAGCCACCAAGAGCCACUGAGAGCUAAGAGGGGCCACUAAGAGCCAAGAGAGGCCACUGGGAGCUACUGGUAUCCAUUGGAAGCCAUUGAGAGCCACCAAUAGCCACUAAGAGCUAAAAGGGGCCACUGGGAGCUACUGGGAGACACUGGGAUCCAUUGGGAGCCAUUGAGAGCCACCAAUAGCCACUGAGAGCUAAGAGGGGCCACUGGGAGCUACUGGGAGCCACUGGGAGCCAUUGAGAGCCACCAAGAGCCACUGAGAGCUAAGAGGGGCCACUGGGAGCCAUUUGGAGCCAUUGAGAGCCACUGAGAGCUAAGAGGGGCCACUAAGAGAUAAGAGUCGCCACUGGUAUCCAUUGGAAUCCACUGGGAUCCACUGGAAGCCAUUGAGAACCACCAAUAGCCAUUAAGAGCUAAGAGGGGCCACUGGGAGCUACUGGGAGACACUGAGUGCCACCAAGAGCCACUAAGAGCUAAGCGGGGCCACUAAGAACUAAGAGCCGCCACUGAGAGCCACUGGGAUCCACUGGGAUCCACUGGGAUCCUUUAGAAGCCAUUGAGAGCCACCAAUAGGCACUGAGAGCUAAGAGUGGCCACUCUAAGCUGCUGGGAGCCAUUUGGACCCAUUGGGAGCCAUUGAGAGCCACUGAGAGAUACGAGGGGCCACUGGGAGCUACUGGGAGACAACGGAAACCACUGAGUGAUUGAGAGUGAGAGCCACUGGGAGACACCAAGAGCUACUGAGAGUUAUGCGAGGCCAUUGGGAGCCACAGAGCACAACUGAGAGCCACUGGGAGCAACUGAGAGCCACUGAGAAUCACUGAGAGCCACUGAGAGUCACCGAGAGCCAUGGGGGGGCCUUUGGGAGUCCGAGAGCAAUUGAGAGCCACCAAGAACCACCGGGAGGCACUCAGAGCCACGGAGAGCCACUGGGAGUGACCAAGAGCUAUGGGGUGGGGGUGGCAUUGGGAACCACUGAGAGCAAUUGAGAGUCACUGGAAGCCACUGGGAGCAACUGAUUGGUACUGAGAGCAACUCAGAGUCACCGAGAGUCACUGAGAGUGAUCAAGAGCUACUGAGAGCCACUGUGAGCUAUGGGAGAGCCAUUCAGAGCCAUUGGAAGCCACUGAGAACAACUGAGAGUCACUGAGAGCCACUGGAAGCCGUUAAGAGCAAUUGAGAGCCAUCAAGAGCUACUUUGGGCCACUGAGAAUGACUGAGAGCCACUGGGAGCCACUGGGAGCGAUUGAGAGCCACUGAGAGCUAUGGGGAGACAUUAGGAGUCACUGAGAGUAACUGAGAGCCACCAAGAGCCACUGAAAGAAAUUGAGAGCCACUGAGAGCCAUUGAGAGCAAUUGAGAGCCACUGAGAACCACAGGGGGCCAUUGGGAGCCAGUGAGGUCCACCAAGAGCUUCAGGAGGGCAUUGGGAGCCACUGGGAGCAAUUGAGAGCCACCAAGAGCUACUUUGGACCACUGUGAAUGACUGAGAGCCACUGGGAGCCACUGGGAGCGAUUGAGAGCCACUGAGAGCUAUGGGAAGACAUUGGGAGUCACUGAGAGUAACUGAGAGCCACCAAGAGCCACUGAAAGAAAUUGAGAGCCACUGAGAGCCAUUGAGAGCAAUUGAGAGCAAUUGAGAGCCACUGAGAGCCACUGAGAACCACAGGGGGCCAUUGGGAGCCAGUGAGGUCCACCAAGAGCUUCAGGAGGGCAUUGGGAGACACUGGGAGCAAUUGAGAGCCACCAAGAGCUACUUUGGGCCACUGCGAAUGACUGAGAGCCACUGGGAGCCAUGGGGAGCGAUUGACAGCCACUGAGAGCUAUGGGGAGACAUUAGGAGUCACUGAGAGUAACUGAGAGCCACCAAGAGCCACUGAAAGCAAUUGAGAGCCACUGAGAGCCAUUGAGAGCACUUGAGAGCAAUUGAGAGCCACUGAGAACCACAGGGGGCCAUUGGGAGCCAUCGGGAGCAAGUGAGGCCCACCAAGAGCUUCAGGAGGGCACUGGGAGCCACUGGGAGCAAUUGAGAGCCACCAAGAGCUACAGGGUGCCACUGAAAGUGAUUGAGAGCCACUGAGAGCCACCAAGAGCCACCAAGAGCCACCGAGGGCCAAUGGAAGCCAUGGAAAGCUGCCAACUGCCUUUCAGAGCCCCUGGGAGAUGUGUGGCUCCAUCUGGGAUAUUCCAUCCUGAGUUUGGUUCCGUGAGGGCCAGCGGUGUUCUGCAUGAGAAGUCACUGUUAUGAGAACCCACCAACAAUGGGAAAUCCCUACAGCACGACCAAGGCAGCCCUGCAGCUUUCAGAAAGCUCUGAACAACCAGCAAUGAGAACAGAGCCGCCGAGAAAAGGUUUUUAAUAGUUGACAUCUGUCCAAACAGAUGAGGAAAUAAUAAAGAGAUGGGGAAGAAUGCGCCCUUUACAAAUGGCCCCGCAGCUCCACGGAGAGAUACAAAAACACGUUUUGCACACAGUGCAUCUCACCAACAUCUUUAUAUGCAGGCUGGGAAAGGUGACAGGUAACAGUCAUUGGGAAAUGGUCAAUUUUUGUACAACACUUAAUGGAGAGGUCAGAGCAGUGCCGUAACGGCCUUCCAGCAGUGAGGUGAGUGAGUUCUGGGUGAGACAAGUGAACCCAUCGGAGCUUGAUCGUUUGUUUUCCCUGCUUCCAUCCGGCAGGAGGUUUCUAUGCAUACGUACACAGCAAAUGCUGCUCAGGUUCCUGGGAACGUCCCAUCAGAUGGCACCGUCGGCAGCUGCCACGGAGGGGAAAGCAUCACCCAGAGAUCACCUCCUCACUCCCUGUGACCUGGGAACUUCAGCCACGUCGAGUCCGUAAGAACCGCAUUGAACCCAAAGAGUCUCAAAACGGUCACCGGGAUGCAUUGCAGAGAUGGUUGGACACGUUGUGUGUGUGCUUCUGGAGGCUCCCACUUCAGCUCAGACCUAUAAAAACGGUGCAUAACCCCGGAGAUAAGCUAAGGCACUGUCCGUAAUUAGCUAACGACGCACGGCCGCCCCGACCAAAGGUUGCUUUUUGUCGUCGUUGUUGUUGAUGCCACGCAGAGGUAAAUCACAGCCCAAACCUCAUUGCAAAUGGUUUUUAACCUGCCGACCCUGUGCUCAGAGCUCGCAGCACCCAGCUGGGCCGUGGCGUGCUGUCAUCUGGGGGACUGAUCCCCUGCGUGUGGGUUUGAGGCCCUCACCUCUCGAGGACAGCAAAGGAAUUCCAGCCCAGAACUCAAUGCCACAUCUCGGUACGAAGAGGGAAUGCAGCACCAGCUCUCUGCCUUCGCUGCUCUUAGUGUGCAGCAAGGAAGGAUUCAAGCACGAGGUCCAAUUAAAAACCAAAGCAAAGAGAAAUGUUGAUUCGGCCCCCCCACUCCCUCCACCCCGCGUUUCCAUCUCGCUCUCAGUCCACAUCUCGCUGCUCCAGCUUGCAAUACCCAACUGCGUGUGUGCUGAACGUACCUGGAACCACACACACUGCAGAUUUGCACUCAAAGACACGCUCACACGUGUUCAAAACCCAAAUUCUACAUGCCACACAGACGUGGACAGAGUCCAAACGCUGCACGUAGAAGAGGAAGGACGGGGCUAAGUCUGACUUUGUUGUUUCCUGAUCAAACUGCACAGGUAGGGGGGCUUUUCUCGUGGAUAUAGUUGGGCUCUGAGUCUGUUCUACAUCGCAGAGCCCCAAACCCAGCAAGGAGGAACCCUCUGGUUGGUGCCGAGUCCCUCAGUAAGCUCAGCUGCACUACACUUGCAGUCUGCUUACCGCUAGGUUUGAAAUAGAUCAUCAAGAGCUUCCCUUCAGACUUACAGACUCAAAGCCAAAAGGUGGGAGAGGGCAACGGAAGGCACAGAGAGAGAAAUCCUCGCACACCUCUGCAGUUCUGCUCCCAAAGCCAAGCCCAGCACAGCAAAGCAGGCAGGGACAGCGGAGCAGGGCUCCUGUGACACCAGCCAGCACUGUGCUGCAAGGGUACGGCAGCAUCUCAUGCAAAGAUGGUGUGUCAGCAGAGCAAGGGAGCUGGAAACACCUCACGAUGGGAGGGAGAUCCCAUCCUGCCUGCUGCCGAUGGGCCUGAGCAGGCUGGGCACGGCUGCAGCACGGCAGAGCUCACAGCCACUGAUGGGACUGUAGGUGGGAAGGGACCGGACAAGCACACUGUCACCACCUGGAAGUUACUGGGACUGAGCCCCAUAGCAGCCUUCCAUCAGCUGCAGGGAUCAAUGUUUGACGAAUGCUUUCCUAUAGAAUCGUUUUUGGGGUGUUUAAUAACGCCCUAACCUGGUUUCCAGAAAAUCUCUAGCACCAAUCCUCUGAAAAUUAAGACUUCAUCAAACACGUUGCCAACGAAGAACUCCAAACUACUCAUCCUGGCCAAGAGCGGGACGGCUCUCUAAUGGGCAAGCAGGGUAACAAAGCAGGAGGUGAGAGUUCUCCUUCCAGCACAAAGCAUCUUUAAAUUCUCUCUUUUAAGUUACGAGGAGGAGGAGGGGGAAAGAGUUCCAGGACAACGGCGCUGUGCCACGCGAGCACCCAGGGAUUGCAGCAGGCACAAAUGGCAGCCAUCAGCAGCUCACAACCCCAGCGCAUCGCUUUCACACCGCCUCCUGCGCUCCCAUCUCCAGCCCUGGUGCUCUGAACCAACACAUCUUCCCUAAGAGCAAAAAAUGGAGAGGUGUAAUGCUUGGGCAGACAACAGCCUCGUGCUGCAGUCACCAUCAGACAGCGACCCUGCGGAGCAGAAUGACUCCAGCAGUGAAAGCACUGUGUUCACCUCACCCCCAACGCGCAGCCGGUGGUUGGGCAAAUCUCAUAUGCACUACACACAGAUCACAGUUAGAAAUAAAGGUGGUGUUUUCCUCGGAGCCCCAAGUUUGGCUCGGAUGCCCUUUGCUCGUAACAACAGGUCGGAGCGAGGUACUUUUCAUACUCACAGGGUGAAGUCUCUCGUGGUGCACAGGUGAGAAUACAUUGGAAAAGAAGCUAUUUGGCUACCUACGUGUCGAGCUUCAUGCUUUUAUUCCAAAGUGAACGAUUUUCCAGCUCAGAUCUACUGAAAGAAGCAGCGCUGGAUGCUGAUGGGUGUCAGCACACGGCUUACACACCAGGCAGGUUGGCAGCAGACGGUGACCCCGGGGCUGCAGCAGCCCAACAGCUACACCUGUGUGAUCUGUGUGCACGAGUCCAUCUGGCAAGGAGCUCAACGCAGAGACGGGGGACAAAAAAGCAGAGCAGAGCUGGCACGGUCCUCACAGGAUCGGGUCCUCCUGCCUGCACGGCAGGUCCUGUGCUGUGUGGGCAAGCAGCCAUCUGUAACUGACCUUGCUCCCAGGCAGCGUGAGGUGCAGUCCGGUGCUUUGUGCUGCUGUGCUCAACCAUCCCACGUCCCCCAGCUCACUGCCUGCCCGGGGUGGGGGGUGUAAAGUAACAGCAGGAGUCCUGUGCUGGGGCCAUUUCAUUCUCCAAUGUUGUCGCUAGGUACAAAGUGCAAAAGUGUUGCUGUUCCUGCAUCCAUUAAAAAACUUUAAAAACAGAACGAAACAAACAGAAGAAAAAACAACGAAACAACAAAACAAAAACAAAAAAAAACAAAAACAAAAAACAAAAAAAAAGGAUUUUUCAUAAUAAUCAUUUGAAAAUACAACAGUCUCCAAAAAAGCCAGCAAACACCUGAUAACCUGUUUGUGCCACAUCUGCUCUUGCUCCUGCACGGCAGCAGCCCGAAGCAUCGCUCUCCUCUCGGCCGCGUUGCCUUCUUUGCAAAACUCCGCAGCCAACGGAGGGCAUCCGGGAGGUGGAGCUGUGAUGGCUCAGACAGCAGAGGCCGGCUGCUGGCGACCUGAGGUCCUGCAGUGAAACCAGCCCGCCUCUCACCGGCAGAGCACGGAGCAACGAAUUCAGAGCCUGGCCGCUUCUCCAGACAGUCCAGCACGACAGCAGGUUGGCUACCUGGCCUCUGGCUCGGGACGACGUCGGUGAUAUCCCUCCCAUCCCACAAAACAAAAAGAAACAAAAAAACCCUCCCUGCCUCGUCCCGUUUAAAGUGUUUGCAUCUUUUUCCUCCUAUGAAAUGUUUCUGAUAAGGCUUUAUUGCUAUACAAAAGCGGUGCAAACGCUGCCCAAAGGGCAGCUCCAUCAGGAACUUUGGUCACACGACUGUGGGACUGCUGUGUGCUGUCCGUGUCCCAGCGUUAGACCUGCUACCUUUCGGAAGAGAAGCUGAAUACUGUGUGCAAUAACACUAAGAAAAUAGGACUGAACCCCAAAUACAAAACAAAACCAAGGGAGAGAGGGAAGGGGACAGGAAUUGAAGGUAGGCAGAAGGCUUGCUUGGGAAGAACCCCAUCAUUCCUGUGAUGACUAACUGAUGGAUGCUACAUUUAGACAAUGCGAGUGUCUUUCAGAACAGAUUGUUGGUGUCGAAAACUCCGUGUCUGGUCCUGAAUGCCAGCUCUCUCAUCAAUGCAGCAUUUAUUAAAAAAUAAAAUUAAAAUGAAAAAAAAAAAAAAAAAAGAAAAAAAAAAAAAAAAAAAAAAAAAGAAA